rnacentral:rRNA from 1 species
AUUGAACGCUGGCGAAAUGCUUUACACAUGCAAGUCGAACGGCAGCACGGACUUCGGUCUGGUGGCGAGUGGCGAACGGGUGAGUAAUGUAUCGGAACGUGCCCAGUCGGGGGGGAUAACGUAGUGAAAAUUACGCUAAUACCGCAUACGAUCUAUGGAUGAAAGCGGGGGAUCGCAAGACCUCGCGCGAUUGGAGCGGCCGAUAUCAGAUUAGGUAGUUGGUGGGGUAAAGGCCCACCAAGCCAACGAUCUGUAGCUGGUCUGAGAGGACGACCAGCCACACUGGAACUGGGACACGGUCCAGACUCCUACGGGAGGCAGCAGUGGGGAAUUUUGGACAAUGGGCGAAAGCCUGAUCCAGCCAUUCCGCGUGCAGGAUGAAGGCCCUCGGGUUGUAAACUGCUUUUGUACAGAACGAAAAGGUUUCUACUAAUACUAGGAGCUCAUGACGGUACUGUAAGAAUAAGCACCGGCUAACUACGUGCCAGCCGCCGCAGUAA